GAUCAACGCUGGCGGCGUGCUUAACACAUGCAAGUCGAACGAAGUUUUUCCUUCGGGCGCAACUUAGUGGCGGACGGGUGAGUAACGCGUGGGUAACCUGCCCUGUACAGGGGGACAACAGCUGGAAACGGCUGCUAAUACCGCAUAAGCCCUUAGCACUGCAUGGUGCAUAGGGAAAAGGAGCAAUCCGGUACAGGAUGGACCCGCGUCUGAUUAGCCAGUUGGCAGGGUAACGGCCUACCAAAGCGACGAUCAGUAGCCGAUCUGAGAGGAUGUACGGCCACAUUGGGACUGAGACACGGCCCAGACUCCUACGGGAGGCAGCAGUGGGGAAUAUUGCACAAUGGAGGAAACUCUGAUGCAGCGACGCCGCGUGAGUGAAGAAGUAUUUCGGUAUGUAAAGCUCUAUCAGCAGGGAAGAAAAUGACGGUACCUGACGAAGAAGCACCGGCUAAAUACGUG
rnacentral:rRNA from 1 species